rnacentral:rRNA from 1 species
UCCUAAUAUCGGGUCUAUUUGACAAAGGCUCCAAAGGAAGCCACGGCUCACUCUGUGCCAGCAGCCGCGGUAAUACAGAGGUGGCAAGCGUUGUUCGGAAUUAUUGGGCGUAAAGAGCACGUAGGUGGAUUUGUAAGUCAGAUGUGAAAGCCUUCUGUUCAACGGGAGAAUUGCAUCUGAAACUACAGACCUUGAGUAUAGGAGGGGAGAGUGGAAC